GCCCUGCGCCCGGCCCGGCCUGGCCCGGCGGCCAGCGGGGCAAGGCGGAGGGCGGCGGGGUGCUGCGUCCGGGACCGGCGGCAGAACGGGGAUCGGAACCGGGAUCGGGGGCAGGACCCGGACCCGCGGCUCUAUUUGCGGCACGAUGGGGCAGGCGGCGGCUGGCGGAGGGGCAGCCGCGGACCCCGGCCCACAGCUCUUCCCCUCAGGCAGCGGCGUGAGGGGGCAGUGCCGCGCCGCUUGGGCUGGGUAGCGGUAACACCGGGGUGGGUUUUUUAUUCGUUGUUUUCUUUCUCUUUAUUUUUCUCGCCCCCUCCCGUUUCUUGAGAAUCGCGUCGCUGCCUCUGCACGCAGCAGCCCCUCAGCGGGGUAGAGCUGCGCACACGCGUAGAGGGUCCCACCGACACUCGCAGCCCCCUGGGCCCACAGGCAGAGGCUGCAGCCAGGUGAUGGAACAGCGCCUGUUGUACAUCGUGUUCUGCAAACCCACCUGCUUCUGCCCAAGGACUGAUGGUAACGUGGCUGCGCAUGAAUUCCAGAAACUGCUUUGCGUAACAGUUUUAUUUUCACAGGGUAAUCUUCCCUGUUAGCCGUGUUCUCCAAAUGUCUGGCAAUCGAUUGUUCAUACCUACGCCGUUGUGCAAACUGGCUUUUCCAAGGCUCGACUGUUGUGGAUGGUGCCUCUCGCUGUGCAGAGGCCAUCGUGCUUCAGGGCAAAGUGGGUGAGAAGUUUGGGGGGCAAACAGCUUACUUCAGGCUCUUAAUAAAGUUUAUCAACAGAACAGGAUUGCAAUGUCUUUAAAAAAACUUUUCCUUCUACUUUAAUUAAAAUAAUUAUAAGAUUCA